UAGGGAAUCUUCGGCAAUGGGGGGAACCCUGACCGAGCAACGCCGCGUGAGUGAAGAAGGUUUCCGGAUCGUAAAGCUCUGUUGUUAAGGAAGAACGAGUGUGAGAAUGGAAAGUUCAUGCUGUGACGGUACUUAACCAGAAAGGGACGGCUAACUACGUGCCAGCAGCCGCGGUAAUACGUAGGUCCCGAGCGUUGUCCGGAUUUAUUGGGCGUAAAGCGAGCGCAGGCGGUUAGAAAAGUCUGAAGUGAAAGGCAGUGGCUCAACCAUUGUAGGCUUUGGAAACUGUUUAACUGGAGUGCAGAAGGGGAGAGUGGAAUUCCAUGUGUAGCGGUGAAAUGCGUAGAUAUAUGGAGGAACACCGGUGGCGGAAGCGGCUCUCUGGUCUGUAACUGACGCUGAGGCUCGAAAGCGUGGGGAGCGAACAGG
rnacentral:rRNA from 1 species